AGAGUUUGAUCAUGGCUCAGAACGAACGCUGGCGGCAGGCCUAACACAUGCAAGUCGAACGCCCCGCAAGGGGAGUGGCAGACGGGUGAGUAACGCGUGGGAACAUACCCUUUGGUUCGGGAUAGCUCAGGGAAACUUGAAUUAAUACCGGAUACGUCCGUAAGGAGAAAGAUUUAUCGCCGAAGGAUUGGCCCGCGUCU
rnacentral:rRNA from 1 species